rnacentral:rRNA from 1 species
AACGAACGCUGGCGGCAUGCCUAACACAUGCAAGUCGAACGAUCCCUUCGGGGAUAGUGGCGCACGGGUGCGUAACGCGUGGGAACCUGCCCUUAGGUUCGGAAUAACUCAGAGAAAUUUGAGCUAAUACCGGAUCAUGUCUUCGGCCCAAAGAUUUAUCGCCUUUGGAUGGGCCCGCGUUGGAUUAGCUAGUUGGUGGGGUAAAGGCCUACCAAGGCGACGAUCCAUAGCUGGUCUGAGAGGAUGAUCAGCCACACUGGGACUGAGACACGGCCCAGACUCCUACGGGAAGCAGCAGUGGGGAAUAUUGGACAAUGGGCGAAAGCCUGAUCCAGCAAUGCCGGGUGAGUGAUGAAGGCCUGAGGGUUGUAAAGCUCUUUUACCCGGGAUGAUAAUGACAGUACCGGGAGAAUAAGCCCCGGCUAACUCCGUG